ACGGGUUAUUAGUUUACUAAUACUGUCAGCUAAGUGGCGCAGGGAGAAUAAUAUAUAGUUAACCUGCCCCAAAGAAGAGAAUAAUUGUUGGAAACGACUUGUAAUGCUCUAUAUGCCUUUAUCACAAAAGUGAGCAAGGGAAACAUUUAUGGCUUUGGGAUGGGACUGUACGGUAUCAGUUUGUUGGUGAGGUAAUGGCUCACCAAGACUAUGACGCCUAACUGGUUUGAGAGGAUGAUCAGUCACACUGGAACUGAGACACGGUCCAGACUCCUACGGGAGGCAGCAGUGGGGAAUAUUGCACAAUGGACGAAAGUCUGAUGCAGCAACGCCGCGUGGAGGAUGACACAUUUCGGUGCGUAAACUCCUUUUAUAUGAGAAUUAAUGACGGUAUCAUAUGAAUAAGCACCGGCUAACUCCGUGCCAGCUGCCGCGUUAAUACUGGGGGUGCAAGCGUUACUCGGAAUCACUGGGCUUUAAGAGCAUGUAUGCUGGUUUGUAAUUUGGAAGUGUAAUCCUAUGGCUUAACCAUAGAACUGCUUCCAAAACUGCAGACCUAGAUAUAUGGGAGAGGUAGAUGGAAUCUUCUUGUGUAGGGGUAAUAUCCGUAGAGAUCAGAAGGAAUACUUAUUGCGAAGGCGAUC
rnacentral:rRNA from 1 species